rnacentral:rRNA from 1 species
CCUACGGGUGACAGCAGUCGAGAAUCAUUCACAAUGGGGGAAACCCUGAUGGUGCGACGCCGCGUGGGGGAAUGAAGGUCUUCGGAUUGUAAACCCCUGUCAUGUGGGAGCAAAUUAAAAAGAUAGUACCACAAGAGGAAGAGACGGCUAACUCUGUGCCAGCAGCCGCGGUAAUACAGAGGUCUCAAGCGUUGUUCGGAAUCACUGGUCGUAAAGCGUGCGUAGGCUGUUUCGUAAGUCGUGUGUGAAAGGCGCGGGCUCAACCCGCGGACGGCACAUGAUACUGCGAGACUAGAGUAGUGGAGGGGGAACCGGAAUUCUCGGUGUAGCAGUGAAAUGCGUAGAUAUCGAGAGGAACACUCGUGGCGAAGGCGGGUUCCUGGACAUUAACUGACGCUGAGGCACGAAGGCCAGGGGAGCGAAAGGGAUUAGAUACCCGGGUAGUC